UAAACCGGAGGAAGGUGGGGAUGACGUCAAGUCAUCAUGGCCCUUACGGCCUGGGCUACACACGUGCUACAAUGGUCGGUACAAAGGGUUGCCAAGCCGCGAGGUGGAGCUAAUCCCAUAAAACCGAUCGUAGUCCGGAUCGCAGUCUGCAACUCGACUGCGUGAAGUCGGAAUCGCUAGUAAUCGUGAAUCAGAAUGUCACGGUGAAUACGUUCCCGGGCCUU
rnacentral:rRNA from 1 species